CAAAAAUCAGUGAAGGAUCGAGUACUUUAUUCUACUCCUUAAAAGAGAAAACUGCCCCGGCUGAAAGCAGUUUAGGACGUGUAAAGGAAAGACAAUCUGGAGAUGAACAGAAGAAAAGCUGUUCCGUGACCGAGCGUUAAUCGAGAGGAGAAGAACAUUUCUCGAAUUUAGGUGGUACCGCGUGUAAUCAAAACUCGCCCUUGUA
rnacentral:ncRNA from 1 species